CCUACGGGAGGCAGCAGUAGGGAAUAUUGGGCAAUGGAGGCAACUCUGACCCAGCCAUGCCGCGUGCAGGAUGAAGGCGUUAUGCGUUGUAAACUGCUUUUAUAUAGGAAGAAAGAGUUCUUGCGAGAACAGUUGACGGUACUAUAUGAAUAAGCACCGGCUAACUCCGUGCCAGCAGCCGCGGUAAUACGGAGGGUGCAAGCGUUGUCCGGAUUUAUUGGGUUUAAAGGGUGCGUAGGCGGUUUAUUAAGUCAGUGGUGAAAGACGGUCGCUCAACGAUUGCAGUGCCAUUGAUACUGGUAGACUUGAGUGAGAUUGAGGUAGCUGGAAUGGAUAGUGUAGCGGUGAAAUGCAUAGAUAUUAUCCAGAACACCAAUUGCGUAGGCAAGUUACUAAGUCUCAACUGACGCUGAGGCACGAAAGUGUGGGUAUCAAACAGGAUUAGAUACCCUGGUAGUCCACACUGUAAACGAUGAUAACUAACUGUUGGCUUUCGGGUCAGUGGUACAGAGAAAUCGUUAAGUUAUCCACCUGGGGAGUACGCCGGCAACGGUGAAACUUAAGGAAUUGACGGCUGAGACGAGCGAGAGACGACGAGGGAGGAGG
rnacentral:rRNA from 1 species